rnacentral:rRNA from 1 species
UACGUAGGGUGCGAGCGUUAAUCGGAAUUACUGGGCGUAAAGCGUGCGCAGGCGGUUUUGUAAGCCAGAUGUGAAAUCCCCGGGCUUAACCUGGGAAUGGCAUUUGGGACUGCAAGGCUCGAGUGCGGCAGAGGAGACUGGAAUUCCUGGUGUAGCAGUGAAAUGCGUAGAUAUCAGGAGGAACACCGAUGGCGAAGGCAGGUCUCUGGGCUGACACUGACGCUCACGCACGAAAGCGUGGGGAGCAAACAGG